GCCUCCGCCGCCGCCGGCCAGGCUCGCACUUUCGGAUGGUGACGCAUCCAGCUGGCUCCGCGGAAGCCUGCGCUGAAACCUGGAGCCCUCCGGGGUGGCCUACUCCUCAGCGCUGCGUUACUGAGCGCUCCCUGGGUGCAGGCUUGGUGAUCCAAGUUUGGUCACAGUCAUCACUUAUGUCACUAUCCUUGUGACGUACAUACUAUUAUUAGCGUCACUUAGAAGUGAGGAAACAGGCUCCAAAAGCUUGUUACUUGCUUGUAGUCAAACAGAAGGCAGAGCUGCGAAUCAAAUCCAGGUUUGUCUCGACAUGCCACUAGCUCAUACUUUCCUUGGAUCAGCCACUAAAUGGCUUUCACUCCAGUGAGCAGCGACCAGCACCAGAAUUAUGGAACAUUUAUCAACAGCCUAAAAUAAAGACAACACGAGGAGAAUUUGGUUGCUUAUAUAGAUUCAAGGUACAAUCCUGCUGGAUUCUGGAAGAAGAAAUAUCACAGUGUGCAUGCACAGAAGUACGACCAUGUGAAGAGGCAGCAAGAGAGCAGCAAUCUACAAGCCAAGGAAAGGGGCCACAGAGGAAACCAACCCUG
rnacentral:lncRNA from 1 species